rnacentral:rRNA from 1 species
CGGGGCUUAAAGUCUUGUAAUUGGAAUGAUGGGAAUUUAAACCUCUUCCAGAGUAUCAAUUGGAGGGCAAGUCUGGUGCCAGCAGCCGCGGUAAUUCCAGCUCCAAUAGCGUAUAUUAAAAUUGUUGCAGUUAAAAAGCUCGUAGUUGAAUUUCUGCUGCAUUGCUUGUGUCCCUCUGGGGUCUGUGCAUGUGGCUUUUUUCGGACGGAGUUUCUUUGUCUGAAUGUUUACUUUGAGAAAAUUAGAGUGCUCAAAGCAGGCUUACGCCUUGAAUAGUUUAGCAUGGAAUAAUAAAGUAGGACUUUGGUUCUAUUUUGUUGGUUUUAGGUACCAAAGUAAUGGUUAAUAGGAACAGUUGGGGGCAUUCGUAUUUAACUGUCAGAGGUGAAAUUCUUAGAUUUGUUAAAGACGAACUACUGCGAAAGCAUUUGCCAAGGAUGUUUUCAUUAAUCAAGAAC